AACGAACGCUGGCGGCAUGCCUAACACAUGCAAGUCGAACGAGAUCUUCGGGUCUAGUGGCGUACGGGUGCGUAACGCGUGGGAAUCUGCCCUUUGGUUCGGAAUAACAGUUGGAAACGACUGCUAAUACCGGAUGAUGACGAAAGUCCAAAGAUUUAUCGCCAGAGGAUGAGCCCGCGUAGGAUUAGCUAGUUGGGGUGGUAAAGGCGCACCAAGGCGGCGAUCCUUAGCUGGUCUGAGAGGAUGAUCAGCCACACUGGGACUGAGACACGGCCCAGACUCCUACGGGAGGCAGCAGUGGGGAAUAUUGGACAAUGGGCGAAAGCCUGAUCCAGCAAUGCCGCGUGAGUGAUGAAGGCCUUAGGGUUGUAAAGCUCUUUUACCCGGGAUGAUAAUGACAGUACCGGGAGAAUAAGCUCCGGCUAACUCCGUGCCAGCAGCCGCCGUAA
rnacentral:rRNA from 1 species